CAGUCGCCGCGGUAAUACAGAGGGUGCGAGCGUUAAUCGGAUUUACUGGGCGUAAAGCGUGCGUAGGCGGCUUUUUAAGUUGGAUGUGAAAUCCCUGAGCUUAACUUAGGAAUUGCAUUCGAUACUGGGAAGCUAGAGUAUGGGAGAGGAUGGUAGAAUUCCAGGUGUAGCGGUGAAAUGCGUAGAGAUCUGGAGGAAUACCGAUGGCGAAGGCAGCCAUCUGGCCUAAUACUGACGCUGAGGUACGAAAGCAUGGGGAGCAAACAGGAUUAGAUACCCCCGUAGUCCCUGUCUCUUAUAC
rnacentral:rRNA from 1 species